GUCCCUGUAGUGCAAUGGAUAGCGCGUUGGACUUCUAAUCUGAAAGUUGUGGGUUCGAAUCCCACCUGGGAUA
rnacentral:tRNA from 1 species